rnacentral:lncRNA from 1 species
CUGUGUCUAAUUAUUUUAUUAACAAAAAUAGUAGCCUCUGAUCUUAGGCUUAUCCCAAGGAAUGGGCUCAAAAAUAAUAAUUUUAUAUGGAUGGUUGGGUGACACAUCCUUUAAUAACACGUACUAGUGGUGAAAAAUUUUGUAUUGCUUAUAUAUGGACUUAUGAAGUGUGAAAUAGUGGGAAAGGGGAAAAGAAAAAGGGGCUGAACUUUUAGCGAAAUUUUACUUUACCUUUCGAACUUCUAAAAUGAACAUCUAACCCUCUAAACUCUAAUAUUUCAUUUAUGUUAUCCCUUCCGUCGGUUUUCUGUCAAGUUUCGUUAACCGAAAAUUAACGAAAGGAAUAAAAUAAAUGAAAUAUUAGAGUUUAGAGUGUUAGAUGUCUAUUUUAGGAGUCUGUGGGGUUAAGUGAAACUCGCCAAAAGUUCAGGAGGUAAUAAUACAAUUUAUCCAAAUUUUUACUAUAAAUUAUUUUUAUAUUUUUAUAUUAAAAAUUUUUAAUUGGCUGAAAUGAAGUAUAAAAAUUUUAUUUAAGUGUAUUUUAUAGAACAAUACUUCUAAAGAUAAAAGGGACAAACGAGUACUACAGAAAAUUAACUGAAAAUUAAAAUCUCUAUAUCCGAGUGAGGACAGCUAUUGUAAAUCAACCAUAUUAGUGAGUACACCAGAAUAGUAGAGUGUUCGAGCAUUGUAGGUAGUUAGUAUCGCUCUUUUUUAUCUUUAAACCACUCUAAUUCAUUUUUUUACUUUUAUUUUAUUAUAAUAAAAUAUAGGAUAAAUCAUGGUAUCAUUUAUUUUAGGAUUAAAAAUAUAUAUAAAUUCAAAAGCAAGCAUGAUCACUAAUUUGAGGAGUAGUAGUCAAUCCAUAAGUAACAUAUUAUAAUAAAAUAAUUUAUAAUCAAGAGCCCCUUGCGGAGUAAAUUGCACUACUACCUCCUGAACUUUUGGCGAGUUUCACUUAACCCCCCAAACUCCUAAAAUAGACAUCUAACACCUUAAACUCUAAUAUUUCAUUCAUUUUACAUCUUCCGUCAGUUUCUGGUUAACGGAGCUUGACGGAAAACUGACGAAAGAGAUAACAUGAACGAAAUAUUAGAAUUUAGGGAAUUAGAUGUCCAUUUUAGAAGUUCAAGAGGUAAAGUGAAACUUUGCCAAAAGUUCAGGAGGUAACAAUGCAAUUUAU